rnacentral:rRNA from 1 species
GUAUGGAAAAAAAAAAAUCCGGAUUUACUGGGUGUAAAGGGAGUGUAGGUGGCCAUGCAAGUCAGAAGUGAAAAUCCGGGGCUCAACCCCGGAACUGCUUUUGAAACUGUAAGGCUAGAGUGCAGGAGGGGUGAGCGGAAUUCCUAGUGUAGCGGUGAAAUGCGUAGAUAUUAGGAGGAACACCAGUGGCGAAGGCGGCUUACUGGACGGUAACUGACGUUGAGGCUCGAAAGCGUGGGGAGCAAACAGGAUUAGAUACCCUGGUAGUCCACGCCGUAAACGAUGGAUACUAGGUGUUGGGGAGCAAAGCUCUUCGGUGCCGCAGCAAACGCAAUAAGUAUUCCACCUGGGGAGUACGUUCGCAAAAAGG